rnacentral:lncRNA from 10 species
GUAGCUGUGUCGCCGGCGGCUGCGGGGCCUCUGGGUUGCUUUCCCUCUCGCUCCCGAGUGCCGCGAGUUCCAGGCGGUCCCCGGGAUCGCCAGCGGCACAGGGCCCCAGCCCUUCGCCCGCGCAUCGGGAUGGGGGUCCUAGCCGGUGGGAGCUGCCUGUCCCUCGAGCGCCAGCUACCCGCGUUGUCCAGCGCUCCGGCCUCGGCCCGGCCCUCCUGCCUCCUGGCUGUUAGGUUCUGAAUGUUCCGGAAAUGCCACGUGACCGCGAGGGCGCUUGGGCUUGGGCUGGACAGGCCGGGGAUCUCACCGCGGCGGGCCCGGCUGUCCCGCUUGGGCGUCCUCAGUGGAACCGCACACCCUUUCUCAGCGCGCCGGUCGUUUGGUCCUGUAGGGCCGAGGGGAAUUCGUGCGGUGUUGAGCACGCGGGAAGCACUUAACGAAAGGGAGCUGCCCCUCAGCCCUCGUGAGUCCGAUGUAAAGGAGUGAAGGAGACGAAGAACUGAAUCAGUAGUUGACCGCCUGUGAGCUGGCGAGCUGUGCCCUGGUAGGGCCUUAAAUCCCAGCCCCAGAAGUCGGAGGCAGGGCAGGCACCCCAAAGCGUGGAAGAGAUGCACCUGCGGAGUGAAAAUGCUGCUAUUGCUUCUAGGGUCAGCCUUGGUUCCUGGAACAAAGGAGCCGCAUGACUCGGGUCUGGCGAUGAUGUUGGGCUCUGCAGUGUCCUCAUCCUUCCCCCUCUCUGGGUAAUGAUAUCUUCCCAGGGUUUAAAGUGUGUCCUCUCUGCCAGUAGCUUGUCUCCACAGCCUCAUCUUUAAUUCCACCUGCCCCACCCAUUUUGGACACUGCAGCCAAGUUGCAGCAGAUCCGCAAACCUGGUAAUCCCUCACUUGAAAGUGCUGGAGGCUUUAGGAUGGGGUUCAGGGCCUGUGCAAUCUAACCGCCUGCUUUUUUUUUUUUUUUUUUUUUUUUUUUUUUGAGACGGAGUCGAAUCUCACUGUCUCCCAGGCUGGAGUGCAGUGGCGCCAUCACAGCUCAUUGCAGCCUCAACCUCCUGAGCUCAAGCCAUCCUCCCACCUCAGCCUCCCAAGUACCUGGGGUUACAGGCAAGCACCAUUACGCCUAGCUAAUUUUUCUGGGUUUUUUUUUUUUGUUUUUUUUUUUGUAUAGAUGGAUUUCGCCAUGUUGUCCAGGCUGGUCUUAAACUCUCGCUCUGUCUCCCAGGCUAGAGUGCAGUGGGGCAAUCUCGGCUCCCUGCAACCUCUGCCUCCUGGGUUCAAGCAAUUAUCCUGCCUCAGCCUACCAGUUAGCUGGGAUUACAUGUGUGCGCCACCGCGCCCGGCUAAUUUUUUUAUUUUUAGUAGAGGCGGGGUUUCACCAUGUUGACCAGGCUGGUCUCAAGACUACUGACCUCAAGUGAUCCCCCCCCCCCCCCGCCUCGGCCUCCCAAAGUGCUGGGAUUACAGACGUGAGCCACCGUGCCCAGCGGUUUUGCAUUUUCAAUUGUGGGGCACGGUGAGAAAAGACUUGAAGAAAGCAAGGGAGUGAGAUCCAUGGAAAUGUAGGGGGGAACCUUGCAGGCCUAUGGAACAGCCAGUGCAAAGGGCCUGGGGUGGGAGCUGCCUCAGGGUAGCCAGGAUGGCAGGAGGCACAGCUGCCGAGAGGAAGCAGGGGCCAGGUCCUGCAAGGUUAGAGGCCAUUGCUACUCCUGAACACAUUGGCAGGUUUUGAGCAGAGAAGUGACAUGAUUUUAGUUUUCUCAGGAUCCCUCUGGCUGCUGUGUGGAGGAAGAGGGGAGGGUGAGAGCAGGGAUACCUCUUAGGAGGCUGUGGUAGUAAUCCCAGGGAGCCAGGAUGGGAGCAGAGGAGGGGACAGGAAUUGGAUUCUGGAUGCAUUUUGGAGGGAGCAUGAAGGAAAGCGGGGUCAAAGGUUCCUCUGAGGCCUUGGCUGCCUCUCUUAUUCAUCUACAUCCAUUCUGUCAAGGACACCUUUCAUUUCUUCUUGGCACUGUCUCAAGGCCACCACGCUGCUGCCCACCUGACCAGCAGUGGCCUUUCCAGGCCUUCCAUCUUCUCCCCAGCAGCUUAUCUCUGCGUAGCCAGGUCCCAUUUCCCACACACCUUUUUUUAAAGUGUGUUGCACUGCUCUGGGUGCAGGACUGUAGCAGUGACCAGGGCAGCUCCAGAUGAAGCUUCUGCUCACAGGAACCUUUUCUACUGAAACAGAUGAUACCUAAACUCUCAGCUGUGUGACUUUAAGCAACUUGCACAACCUCUCUGUACUUCAGUUGCCUCCAUCUUCAAAUGGGGAUUAAAAAGUGUUGACAUCAUAGUGGUUGUGAGGAUUACAUGAUUUGAUAGUUUAUAAAGCACUUAGAACUUGUGAAGAAGAGUGCCUGGGGAUUGCCUAAGGUCAGGAGUUCAAGACCAGCCUGGCCAACAUGGAGAAACCUCAUCUCUGCUAAAAAUACAAAAACUAACCACGCAUGGUAGUGCACACCUCUAGUCCCAGCUACUUGGGGGGCUGAGGCAGGAGAAUCACUUGAACCUGGGAGGUGGAGAUUGCAGUGAGCCAAGAUUGCGCCACUGCACUCCAGCCUGGGCAACAGAGCAAGACUCGGUCUCCAAAGAAAAAAAAAGAACUGCCUGGCUACGGAAUAAGAACUACAUGGAGUUAUUAAAUCAAAAUCGGUGCACAAAUGAUAAUUCUUAAGAGUGAGUGCUACAGAGAACACAAAAGGCAAGGCACAGAGAGAUGACCUGGGAGGCAGGGAAGGAAAGCAUUCCCAGAGUUCUGGAGGCUGCAAGCCCAGGUUCAAGGCAUCAGCAGGUGUGGUUUCCUCCGAGGCCUCUCCCCGUGGCUUGCAGAUGGCUGCCUUCUUCCUGCAUCCUCACGUGGUCCCUCCUCUGCACUCCAGCAUCCUUAAUGUCUCUUUGUGUGUCCAACUUUCCGCCCCCCCCCACCCCUUUUUUUUCUGAUGGAGUCCACCCAGACUGGAGUACAGUGGCGUGAUCUCAGCUCACUGCAACCUCCACUUCCUGGGCUCAAGUGAUUCCCCCGCUUCAGCCUCCCGAGUAGCUGGGAUUACAGGCAUGUGCCACCAUGCCUGGCUAAUUUUUGUAUUUUUAAUAGAGAUGGGAUUUCACCAUAUUGGCCAGGCUGGUCUCAAACUCCUGACCUCAAGUGAUCCACCCAUCUCGGCCUCCCAAAGUGUUGAGAUUACAGGUGUGAGCCACUGCGCCCAGCCCCGAACUUUCCUCUUAAAAGGAUAUCAGUCAGGCCAGGCGCAGUGGCUCAUACCUGUAAUCCCUGCACUUUGGGAGGUUGAGGCGGGUGGAUUACUUGAGGUCAGGAGUUGGAGACCAGCCUGGCCAACAUGGUGAAAUCCCGUGUCUACUAAAAAUACAAAAAUUAGCCGGGCGUGGUGGCAGGCGCCUGUAGUCCCAGCCACUCGGGAGGCUGAGGCAGGAGAAUUGCUUGAACCUGGGAGGCAGAGGUUGCAGUCAGCUGAGAUCAUGCUACUGCACUCCAGUCUGGGCAACAGAGCAAGACUCUAUCUCAAAAAAAAAAAAGACACCAGUCAGACUGGAGUAGGGCUCACCCUAAUGGCCUGAUUUUAACUUAAUUACCUCUUUUUUUUUCUUUCUUUUUUUGAGACAGAGUCUCGCUCUGUCACCCAGGCUUGAGUGCAGUGGCGCGAUCUCAGCUCACUGCAACCUCUGUCUCCCGGGUUCAAGUGAUUCUCCAGCCUUAGCCUCCCAAGUAGCUGGAAUUACAGGCGUGUACCACCACACCAAGCUAAUUUUUGUAUUUUUUAGUAGAGACAGGGUUUCUUCAUGUUGGUCAGGCUGGUCUCAAACUCCUGACCUCAGGUGAUACACCUGCCUCGGCCUCCCAAAGUGAUGGGAUUAUAGGUGUGAGCCACUGCACCCAGCCUUAAUUACCCCUUUAAAGGCCCUAUAUGCAAAUACAGUCACAUUCUGAGCUACUGGGGGUUAGGGCUUCAACAUAGGAAUUCAGGCAGACAUGAUUCAGCCCAUAACAAGGGCUUUCACUUUUUUUUUUUUUGUAGAAACAGGGUCUCACUAUGUUGCCCAGGCUACUCUUGAACUCCUGGGUUCAAGUGAUUCUCCAGCCUCAGCCCCCAGAUUAGCUGGGGCUACAGGUGCACCAGCACGCCCAGCUAAUAUUUUUACUUUCAUUUUUUUUAGACGGAGUUUAGCUAUCUUUGCCCAGGCUAGAGUGCAAUAGCGUGAUCUUGGCUCACCACAACCUCUGCCUUCCGGGUUCAAGAAUUCUCCUGCCUCAGCCUCCCAAGUAGCUGGGAUUACAGGCAUGCACCACCAUGACCGGCUAAUUUUGUAUUUUUAGUAGAGACGGGGUUUCUCCAUGUUGGUCAGGCUGCUCUCGAACUCCCGACCUCAGAUGGUCUGCCCGCCUCAGCUUCCCAAGGUGCUGGGAUUACAGGCGUGAGCCACCGCGCCCGGCCAAUAUUUUUUGUGGAGUCAGGGUCCUACUAUGUUUCCCAGGCUGGUCUUGAACUUCCAGGCUCAAGCGAUCCUCCUGCCUUGGCCUCCUAAAGUACUGUGAUUCCAGGCCUGAGCCACAGCACCCUGCUGGCUUUCACUUUUUACUUUAUUUCUAUGUUGUUAAAAUCUAUUACAAUAAACAUUACUUUUAAAGGAUUUUGUGCACUUCAAUCCAAAUGUCCCUGAAGCAUCUACCUCCCUCCUGGGCCUUCUCUGAAGUCAGAGUAGGGGCAGCUGAAGCCCUCCCUCUGCUGGCUCCAGGAACGAAACCCCCUGGCCCACUAAGGCCCUUCCCCUGGGGAGGGUGGCGUGGGAUAAGAACACUCAGUAUCUGUCUGGCCCUCUCAAGAUCACUGAGGACUUUCCCAGACAGCCGACAUGGUCUUCAGAUCAGUCUGCCAAACGUCACAUAGAGGCUGGGCACGGUGGCUCACGUCUGUAAUCCCAGCACUUUGGGAGGGCAACGUGGGUGGAUCACCUGAAGUCAGGAGUUCGAGACCAGGCUGGCCGACAUUGCAAAACCUCGUCUCUACAAAAAUAUAAAAGUUAGCUGGGCGUGGUGGCACGCGCCUGUAGUCCCAGCUACUCGGGAGGCUGAGGCAGGAGAAUCACUUGAACCUGGGAGGCGGAGGUUGCAGUGGACCAGGAUCGUACCACUGCACUCCAGCCUGGCCAACAGAGUAAGACUCCAUCUCAAAAAAAAAAAAAAAAUCAGGUGGAGGGGCAUCCUCUGUUUUCCAGGCUCCUGGUUUAUAGCUGCAAGCUCUGGACAUUUAAUACCUUGUAAUCCAUCCUUCCCUUAUAUACCUCUCAACAUAAUGACUGUACAAUAUGGCCAAUGAAACGGAUAGUAAAAUGAAACAUAGGCAAGUAAUAAAGUGAGAUAUGAAGACAGUAGUACAACCUGGAUGAGGGUGGAAUGCAAAAUUGUCAUCAGAGAAGACGACAGGAGGACCUGAGAGCUGGAGGGACGGACGCUUAUCUACCCAAAUGAGGCUAUAAAAAGUAGAAAGAUGGCAGGGUAAAAAUGGGGGAGGGCUGCCACUUAAGACUCUCAGGAAACAGUGAUGCAUCAGACUUUAUCAUUAAGUCCCAGGGGAGAGGAGUGGAUCUGGGGAUCCCUUUAGAUAUGGUAGAAUUCUCCUGGGUCCUGCUCUGGUCUUAAAUCUCAGACCAGUAGCAGGAAAACCCUAACUGUACUGUGGUCCUGAAUGUCACUGCAACUUCAGCCCUGCUGUGGUGGUGUAUCUGCUCCUCUGGCUGGCUCUGCCACCUUGAAAGGUGAGACCAUGUGGAGCAGAGCCAAGGGGCCUCAGCUGACAGCCAGCACCAACCAUCAGUCAUGUGAGUGAGACCACCUUGGACCCCCAACCCCAGUUGGGUUGUCAGAUGACUAUAGCUGCAGGUACAAGAGUGACCCAGUGACACCAGCAGAUGAACCGGCUAGCUUAGCUCAGCCCAAACUGCUGACUUAGAACUGUUGUUAUGUUAAGCCAGUACAUUUUCAGUGACUCAUUACAAAGCAGUAGAUAACUGUGACAGUCUAAGAGGAUCUAAGUUUGGAAACAGGAUUGAAUAUUUAAGAUAACUGAUUUGCCAGAUUUAUAAGUUUAUUAGUAUAUAAGAGUUGCUUGGCUGGGCACAGUGGCUCAUGCCUGUAACCCUAACACCUUGGAAGGCUGAAGCAGGAAGAUUGCUUGAGCCCAGGAGUUUGAGACCAGCCUUGGCAACACAGUGAGACCCAAUCUCUUAAAAAAAAAAAAAAAAAAAAAAACUCCGUCUCCCUCUCGCUCUCCGUCUCCCUCUCGCUCUCCCUCUCCCCACGGUCUCCCUCUCAUGCGGAGCCGAAGCUGGACUGUACUGCUGCCAUCUCGGCUCACUGCAUCCUCCCUGCCUGAUUCUCCUGCCUCAGUCUGCCGAGUGCCUGCGAUUGCAGGCACGCGCCGCCACGCCUGACUGGUUUUGGUGGAGACAGGGUUUCGCUGUGUUGGCCGGGCCGGUCUCCAGCCCCUAACCGCGAGUGAUCCGCCAACCUCGGCCUCCCGAG